rnacentral:tRNA from 1 species
UGGGGACUCGUCUAAUGGCAGGACAGCGGUCUCUGGAACCGUCAAUUGUGGUUCGAAUCCACGGUCCCCAGCCU